UACGUAGGGUGCAAGCGUUGUCCGGAAUUAUUGGGCGUAAAGAGCUCGUAGGCGGUCUGUCGCGUCGGUUGUGAAAACUCGGGGCUCAACCCCGAGCCUGCAAUCGAUACGGGCAGACUAGAGUGCUGUAGGGGAGACUGGAAUUCCUGGUGUAGCGGUGAAAUGCGCAGAUAUCAGGAGGAACACCGGUGGCGAAGGCGGGUCUCUGGGCAGUAACUGACGCUGAGGAGCGAAAGCGUGGGGAGCAAACAGG
rnacentral:rRNA from 2 species